rnacentral:rRNA from 1 species
UACGAAGGGGGCUAGCGUUGUUCGGAAUUACUGGGCGUAAAGCGCGCGCAGGCGGUCCUUCAAGUCAGAGGUGAAAGCCCAGAGCUCAGCUCUGGAAUGGCCUUUGAGACUAGAGGACUUGGGUACGGGAGAGGUGAGUGGAAUUCCGAGUGUAGAGGUGAAAUUCGUAGAUAUUGGGAAGAACACCGGUGGCGAAGGCGGCGACCUGGUCCUUUACUGACGCUGAGGCGCGAAAGCGUGGGGAGCAAACAGG